rnacentral:lncRNA from 1 species
AGGGAAGGUUGGGGGAAGAGGGAAUAAAAAUAAUGAAGAUAUCUGAUGAAUGUAAUUAUUAUGUACUGCAACCAUAUGUUAAUAAAAAAACAAAUAAAACAUUUUUCUCCUCAUAGGAGUUAUGAUCGAAGUUCCAGGAGCUUAGAUCAAGAUUCUCCUUCAAAAAAGAAGAAAUUCCAAACUAAUUAUGCUUCUACCACCCAUUUAAUGAGUGGCAAGAAAGUGCUGUCAUCUAUAUAGACAAAAGCUAGUGACUUAGAAACAACAGUAUUUUAUAUGCCUGGAGUUGAUGUAAAUGUAAAUACCUAAUUGUCUAGGAUAAAAGAUUAGUGUAUCAAUAAUGGUGGUUUUUAUUUCUUAUCAUAUAUGUUCUUCUUUUGCUCCUUAUACUAUGAAACUUUCUAGGUUUUUUUGGUCUAGGUAGCCAUAUUCUGAACAUAAGAAUAUAUAUAGGUUGUCACUUCAUUUAUACAGCUUUUCCCAUGAAAUUUGGCAAAAAGAAGUUAAAUGUUUUAUAUAUGUGUAUAGAUGUGUGUUCAGAGCAUACUUGUUAAAGCUGGCUUAGUGCAACUUCAUUAAACAACCAUUUUUUAAAUUCUAGAAUUAUAAAAUCUUAGGCUAUUAAUAGUUGGAAAGAACUUUAAGGAUUAUCAGGAAUGACCUUUUUAACUUCAAAAAUGAAAAAAAGAAUCUUGUCAGGAUCGCAAACCUAACUUGUAAAAGUUAGAACUGAGUCUUUGGACUCCUGAACCAGUUUUCUUUCUGAUACGUUUUCUGUAUUUCUUGGGUUUUCCUCAUCUGUAUAAUUUUAAUUUUGAAAGUUUUUUUUUAAUACAGUUGCAUUACAAUUCUAAGAUGCUAAAGACUGAAUCACCUAAUGCUUCUAGAGGAUCUUCCUUGCCAAGAACUCUCUCCAAAGAGUCCAAACUGUAUGCCAAAGGAAAAGGAAGUGGAGGAGUAAAAACAGCCAAGUUAUAUGCCUGGGUAGCACUUCAGUCAUUGCCAGAAGAAAUGGUUAUUAGCCCCUGCCUUUUAGACUUUCUGGAAAAGGCUCUAGAAACUAUCCCAGUUACACCAAUUGAAAGGAAUUAUACAGCUGUUAGCUCACAAGAUGAAGAUAUGGGACAUUUUGACAUACCAGAUCCUAUGGAAGAAUCAACAACAUCAUUAGUAUCUUCUUCAACAUCUGCUUACUCUUCCUUCCCUGUAGAUGUUGUGGUUUAUGUACGAGUUCAGCCCUCACAGAUCAAAUUUAGCUGUUUACCAGUGUCAAGAGUAGAAUGUAUGCUAAAGCUUCCAUCCUUGGGCUUGAUGUUUUCUUCAAACCGAGGAGAACUGGAGACUUUAGGGACAACAUAUCCUGCAGAGACUUUAUCUCCUGAAAGUAAUGCAUCUCAGAGUGGAACAAAGACCUCUGGUAGCCAAACUGGAAUACCAGGCUCAUCAGGAUUAGGCAGCCCUCUUGGCAGAAGCCGGCACAGCAGCAGUCAAUCAGAUCUCACCAGCUCCAGCAGCAGUUCAUCUGGCCUGAGCUUCACUGUGUGCAUGUCUGACUUCUCCCUUUAUAUAUUUCAUCCAUAUGGAGCAGGGAAACAAAAAAACUGCUGUUUCUGGCCUCACACCUGGAUUAGGAGAAUUAGGUAUACUUUGCAUGUUUGUGUACUUAUCAAAUUUUAGCAUUUUUUCAAGAUUUUCAAGUAUCUUUUCAAGUUUUCUUUUCAUAAAUCAGAAUGCAUUUAGGAAUGGAGAUUAGCCAAGAACAGAAGCUUUCCAUUUUUUUCCCAUUUGAUUGUAUCUUGACCCUACAAAAUAAGUAUAAAUAUGAAAUAAGGAAUUCAGAUAAAUUAAUUAUAUGAGAAUUUAAAAUUUAGAAUAUUUUCUAAGUGAUAUACAC